UAGCGUAUAUUAAUGUUGUUGUGGUUAAAAAGCUCGUAGUUGGAUCUCGGCGGGCAGCCGGGCGGUCUGCAUUGCUGCAGCCACUGCUCUGGUUUUUGUUUUGCCCGUGUUUGUUAUUUGCUGGUUUGCCAGGCCGGUGAUCUUGAUCGGUCGUCGGCCCUGGGUCAGCAGUUUUACUUUGAAAAAAUUAGGGUGCUCAAAGCAGGCUGUUGACAGCUUGAAUAUUCGUGCAUGGAAUAAUGGAAUAGGAGGCCGUUCCUAUUUUGUUGGUUUUCGGGAACCGACUUAAUGAUUAACGGGGACUGUCGGGGGCAUUUGUAUUCAGCCGCU
rnacentral:rRNA from 1 species